rnacentral:tRNA from 2 species
GCCGGCGUAGCUCAGUUGGUAGAGCGCUUCACUUGUAAUGAAGAUGUCGGGGGUUCGACUCCUCUCGCCGGCUCCA